AUGUUGUAGGGAUGAAUAACAUUGUUGAAGAAUCCCAUUUACCAAAUCUGCAUUAUCUUGACGCUGUUUUAAAGGAGACGUUACGUCUACACCCUGCAUUACCACUGCUUCUCCCAAAGCGUCCGAGCCAAUCUGCAAUAGUAGGUGGAUACAAAAUACCUGAGGGAACUAAAGUAUUCUUGAAUGUUUAUGCAAUUCAUAGGGGUCCUCAAGUGUGGGAAAGUCCACUAGAAUUCCAACCUGAAAGGUUUUUGAGUCCCUCGACUAAUUUAGACUAUGCUGGAAAUAAUAUGAAGUACCUUCCAUUUGGAUCAGGGAGAAGAAUUUGUGCUGGAAUUCCUUUAGCAGAGAAAAUGCUUAUGUUUAUAUUGGGUUCAUUGCUUCAUUCCUUUGACUGGAAACUCCCUGAGGGAGAAAUCGUUGAUCUUUCGGAGGGAUUUGGACUCGUCCUCAAGAAAAGUGAGAGGCUAUUGGUCAUCCCUACUCCCAGGUUACCGAAUUUCAAGCUAUAUCAGUAAAACCAUGAAACUAUAAGGACCUUGACAUGAUAUUUAUAAUAUCAGAGUACGUAUUUUAAAUAAAACAUGAUGUUGGUUGGUCACUUUCUUUCACCUGUUCAAAGUUCAAACCAAUAUUGGUCACUACUGCAUUAUUGCUGAGGUCUGAGGAGACGAGAUCGCAUUGACCCGUUCAUAUCUUCUGGACUUUCAAAAAUGUCAGCUUGGUGCAUGCAUGUAUCAGAUCCUGAGGAUCAAAUACGGGUAUGACAACAUUCAUUAGUUUGUUGUAAACAAUGAGUGCUGGUAUAACCGGACUUGUCCUUAUUUUUAGGACUACUAAUGUUUGUUUAGUCAAGCUUCCAAAAUCUAUUUAUUUUGAAAAGUAUUUUUUGUUAGAAGUGCUCAUUGAAAGAAGUUAUUUUUUUGGAAUAUAGCAGUUUGUCAAUAUCAUCGAUUUGUGUUUGAUCGAGAUUUCAAAGUGCUUUAGGAGUAAAGCAAUUUUUGUCAACUUAUGCUACUACUCGAAAACACUUAUUUGUAUCCUAAAAGCUUGGUCAGACAACUCAACUCUCUAAAUAAGCACUUAUGGCUUCACCAAAACUUGAUCAAACAGACUAUCAAUCCAAUAGAUACUAGAAACUUUAAUUUUUGUUUCUCCAAAAGAAAAGAAAGAAAAAGAUAAAAGGGUUGUUUUUGGAAAUUUGUGAAACAUCAAAUUGAAACAACAGUUGUUUUACUGUUUUUGCGUUGAAGUUUGAAGCACCAGUAAGGUUAGGGAGGUAUUUUCAUAUUCAUAUUGUGGUUCUUCAGACUUUCAAGAGUCACUUUUGUCUUAUCCAACAUAUUUUUAUUCUUCAAAAUUUGUUUUAUAUAUAUAUAUAUAUAUAUAUGGUACUAGAUUAGGGAACGUGUGUUGCACGUUUAUCCCAAAAUACUUUAUAUUAAUUUUGUAUUGCAAAUGACAUAUUUUAUCCCCUUUAAAUCUAUGGUAUUUACUAAAAAAAAUUCAUCAAUUUUCAGAUAGGAACUACAUAUAUCUUUCUAAAAAAAGAAUAUAUAUUUGAUUAUUAAAUUGACUAAAAGUGUAUAAAGUAAAAAUAACUAACUAUUGCACAAAUUCAAUAUUCAAAAUGAGGAUACUAAAAAUACCACAUGCUAGGCUUAUGUAUACAAAGCAACAAACCAUGGUAAAUUCUCAAUAAUAAUAACUACACAACAUUAGAAAAUUUGUACAAUAACAACAAACAAGAAACAUAAAUAUUAACUAAACAAAUAAAAGGAGACGAGAGAAGAGAGCAUAGAUAUUUUCUCUUUUUUUUUUUGUAAUUGGUUUAAGUGUGUACAUUAUUGUGUCAAAUGUCACUAUUUAUAUGAUAGUAUUGAGAAACACAAAGAGUUGUCAUGAAUAUGAGAUUAAUCCAUUUGAGAUUAUGGUGAGAGAUAGGAGUAAAACCAUAAUAAAUAUAAUCAGGGAGUUACAUAUAUUUACAUAAUGAAGAAUUAGUGGUAAUAAAAUUUAUGUGUACUAAUAUGAUGAUUUGCUAUUUAAUAUUUAAUUAAUUAAAUAAUUUAUAACAUUUAAAUGUAAUGUAUGAGAAAAAAUCUAAGGAUAAAAUUAAAAAAAUUAAAAAUAUUAAAUGUGUAAUGGAAAAUCAUUAUGACUAAUUAUUAAGAAAUUCAUAGCAACUAUCAUUAUGAAAAAUCAUCACUAUUAGUACGUGAAAGAUGUAAAGAUUGUAGAUUUUUUUCUUGCUAAAAAUAACUUACAUAGGAAUGUUAAUUACCAUAAUACCAAGAGUCAAAAUUCAUGGAUCCCAAAAUAAAUAUUAAAUAAAAAAACUAUUUUAAAUAAUUUCAAGAUAAUAAAUUAAUAGUUAAGGGGUAUUUUUGUAAUUCAACUUUUGACUUAGAUUCUUCCCUCUUUUAGUAUAACUAAUUUCUGGACACGUGUCUCAUGCUAAUUAAUAUAGACUUUCUAAAAUGAAAUAUAUAAUACUCUAUUAUAUACUGAGUAUAUACAUGUAUAUACUGAGCAAUUGAACAGUAAUUCAGUUGAAUAGUAGAUUCAAAUGCAACAUAUAUUUGUAAUGUAAUAUUAUUCAUCUGUCAUGUAACAAAAUGAGAUACAUGCUUGGGAGUUAUUCUAUUUCUUCACGAAGAUAGCAACUUUAGGUAUGCUACUAAUAAUGUUUUAAAAAUAAAUAUCUAUACUAAAUUAGAAGUGAGAGGUCACAAAGCAUCCAAAAAUGACACUAAAUGAAACCAAUAAAGUUGGAUUUAAAAUCAGACUCAUGAAAUAUAAACAUACUUAUGAAUUUGGUUCAGUAGCUACUUCCAAAGUGAUAUUUUUUGGAGCAAACUAAAAAUAUAAAGUGUGUGAAAUAAAUAAAAUAAAAAAUAUUAUCUAUACACAUUAUUUCGUAAACACAAGCCAUAUUUAAGUAGUAAACAGAAACUGAACUUGUUCAAAGGGGAAAAUAUAGUAUUACCUUAUGCUGGGCAAAACUCAACAAAUAAGAGGGCAAUAGUAAUAGCUUUUUGUGUAGUCUAACAGAAGAUGAGGAAGAAUAAAAUGAUAAAGAAAUUUGACAGGGUGGUAACUUUAUAAAGUGCAAAGAAUAUGAAAAGGGUAUAGAGUAUUUAACUGAUUGAAGUUUAAAAGACAAAAGAUAUAAAUGCUGUAAUAUGAAAAGUUUGAUACAUUAGUUAAAUGAUCAGGACAAAGUGGUUAUUUUGUAAAUGAUUAGGGAUAUUUUUGUAAUUCAACUUUCAACUAUGGAGUUUCCUACUUUUAGUAUAAAAUAUGAUAUGAUUAGAGUAUUGAGUUUUCCUUGGCAAAAAUGUCUCUUAUUGGUAUGUUAUGUCAUAUAUGUGAUAUUGGUUGUGGUCCCUUCUAACUUCUAAGGUGUUCAAAUAUGACCAAAGCAACCUUUCCUUUUCCCCAAUUUUGGUCACUUCUGCAUUAUUGAUGAGUUGAUGAGAUAGCAUUUGACUUUAACCAUUCCUGUCUUAUCCAAUGUUUUCUAGAUUAAUUCAAAUAUGUCCCUUGGUGCAUAUCAAAUUCUCCAAAAGUAAUGUAUUUUUUGAGGAUCCAACAACAUUUUGGAGAGUCCAAAACAACAUAGGUCUCAUCUUUAUGGUCGCAAAAAUUGGCUUAUUUACUGAUCACACUGUCUAAUCUUAAUUAGUUAUGAUGUGAGAUCUAAAUCUAAUGAUAGAGAAAUAUGGGAUGGUGAAUUGCACCAAGGAUGUGGCAUAGUGAUAAAUGAAGUUAAAGGAGAACUAUGAGGUCUCGGGUUCAAAUUCCAUCGAAGCAAAAAACAUUACUGGUUGUCUGGUUGAUAUACAAGUUACACAAGGAUUACAAUGACUAAUUCGCAUUAUCAACUAACUAAACAAUGUAUAAAAUGAUGUUGAAUUUUAUACAAUUACAGCAAGUAAUUUGUUUCCAUCUGCCUAAACCUUGGUAGACAGAGUUACCUGCAUUAGGAAUCCCCUUUUAUUGACCAGCAACUUCAUCCUUACUUUGCUAGCUUGACACAGACCUUUUGGGCACUACCUUUAAGAAUGAGUACUUAAAAAAGACAGGAUAUAUUGAGCUAAAAUUUAGAGCAAAUUAUUUCAUUGUGAGGUAAAAAAAAAAUUGGUAUCCUUCCAGAGAUUAGUAUUAGAAGUGCUGAAACUGUCUUCACACUAAAUUUGGCUUCUGAACCUUCAAAUGAUCUUUGGAUUGCAGCCCUCACCCUUUCAAUUGUCUUUCUUACAAUUCUAUGGUACAAGUUGAACAAGGAAGAAUCCAGGUUGCCACCAGGGCCUCGUGGC
rnacentral:lncRNA from 1 species